rnacentral:rRNA from 1 species
UACGUAGGGUGCGAGCGUUAAUCGGAAUUACUGGGCGUAAAGCGUGCGUAGACGGUUAUGUAAGUCGGAUGUGAAAGCCCCGGGCUUAACCUGGGAAUGGCAUUCGAGACUGCAUAGCUAGGAUGCGGAAGAGGGAAGUGGAAUUUCCGGUGUAGCGGUGAAAUGCGUAGAUAUCGGAAGGAACGCCGGUGGCGAAAGCGGCGCGCUGGACCUCUUCUGACGCUGAGGCGCGAAAGCUAGGGGAGCAAACGGG